GCACACACCUGAUUCUAAUCAAUUACUGGGGACCCCAGCUCUUUAAACAUGAAAAGCACCUCAUUAAGAAAAAUUGGGACCGCUUGUUAAAAUUUGGGGACUGCGGAUGAGGUUGGAAUGAAAACCUGCAUACCCUGUGGUCCCCCAGGACCGAGUUUGAGAACCACUGCAGGUGUACUGACCCUCUCAAGAUGGCCACUAGGAAGAAAUGGCAUGAAGAAAACAAGAUGGCUGCUCAAGGAAAUGCUCUGAAUUGGCAGACAAUGUGGCUGUUCAUGCCAUGGCAAAUCCAAGGCAAUCCCAGAGAAAAUAACUGUUACAGGAUACAAAAACCUGUUCACUGGAGAUAUAACAAAGAGGCGUCGCUGUUUUUACCCUUGCUCAGCUCUUCUGGUGGAAUGUACUCGUGUUGCUGUGGAGCAUAGAGGCCUUCAGUCAACACCCAGCCAUGACCCAGGUCUGGUGUCGGACUUCAGCAUGCUGCCGGUGCUGCGGAAGUAUUGCGGGUUCUCUAUGACGGGGAUUUUGGUCAUGCCGAUGAUGACGGCGUCUGGGCCCAUCUCUGAGGACGAGGGCGUAUUGCUGCCAUUGGAGACGUGGUGCAGGGGACUCGCAGAGUCGUCGUCAUUACUGAUGACUGAGGAAGGACCUGAAACAGAGCAGUCAUCAUUACUGAUCAGAGACCUGUAACAGAGCAGUCAUCAUUACUGAUCAGAGACCUGUAUCAGAGCAGUCAUCAUUACUGAUCAGAGACCUGUAUCAGAGCAGUCAUCAUUACUGAUCAGAGACCUGUAUCAGAGCAGUCAUCAUUACUGAUCAGAGACCUGUAUCAGAGCAGUCAUCAUUACUGAUCAGAGACCUGUAUCAGAGCAGUCAUCAUUACUGAUCAGAGACCUGUAUCAGAGCAGUCAUCAUUACCGAUCAGAGACCUGUAUCAGAGCAGUCAUCAUUACUGAUCAGAGACCUGUAUCAGAGCAGUCAUCAUUACUGAUCAGAGACCUGUAUCAGAGCAGUCAUCAUUACUGAUCAGAGACCUGUAUCAGAGCAGUCAUCAUUACUGAUCAGAGACCUGUA